UACAGAGGUGGCAAGCGUUGUUCGGAUUUAUUGGGCGUAAAGGGUCCGUAGGCGGUCCGGAAAGUCAGAUGUGAAAUCCCACAGCUCAACUGUGGAACUGCAUUUGAAACUUCCAGACUAGAGUAUGAGAGGGGUUAAGGGAAUUCCCGGUGUAAGGGUGAAAUCUGCAGAGAUCGGGAAGAACACCAGUGGCGAAGGCGGCUAACUGGUCCGGUACUGACGCUGAGGUGCGAAAGCGUGGGGAGCAAACAGG
rnacentral:rRNA from 1 species